UCCCCCCUAACCUCUGAGGCACCUCAUAACCCCCCGCUAGAAUGUCCCGUAGGACUUGCAUACAUGUAAAAUGGUUAUCAUGGCGAUGAAGUGGUCACUGGCAGCAGCACCCAACUCAUGUGGUUCCGAUGGGCACUCCUCUCCAGCCAAAAAAGGGAGAAAUGGGAAAGCACAGACAGGUAGACAGUCCACUCUGAAAGUCAGAGGGUUUAAACAUGCUGUACAGUGUCAGAAACAGGUUGUGAAAAGGAAGAAAUGUGUGAAAAUUUGUCAGACAUCAGGAGAAAUAUGGGAGAGUUGUAACCCCUGGAGGAAGCUGGGAGAGGGCAAUGACAAACGGGAGUCUCCCAGGAAAAACGACGGGGUUGGCAAACAUGUGGUAGAAGUUCCUUUUUGCUGCAGCGGUGCGCACCCUCAACCUUCGCAUCACCACCUAGUCUUUGCGGAUUCAUCAGCCCCAUCCGACUCAGCAGUCAGCAGCCUCAGAGUCAUCAGUCACGACCACCACCACCAGUGUCUGGACUCCAUGGAAGGAUUUAUUUUGCUGCCACUCAGAUGUUCCUUGACCAGAAAAUAUCUCCCUCUGGUGUCCAAGCGCCAAAGAUUUUUGUUAAAUCUUAAUCAGCACAAAUCAUCUCUUUAUCUGUACACUCAUAUUCUGUAUUAAAUAUUAUCUUUACCUC